UACGUAGGGUGCGAGCGUUGUCCGGAAUUACUGGGCGUAAAGAGCUCGUAGGUGGUUUGUCGCGUUGUCCGUGAAAACUCACAACUCAAUUGUGGGCGUGCGGGCGAUACGGGCAGACUGGAGUACUGCAGGGGAGAUCGGAAUUCCUGGUGUAGCGGUGAAAUGCGCAGAUAUCAGGAGGAACACCGGUGGCGAAGGCGGAUCUCUGGGCCGAUACUGACGCUGAGGAGCGAAAGCGUGGGGAGCGAACAGG
rnacentral:rRNA from 1 species